rnacentral:rRNA from 1 species
GAACGCUGGCGGCAUGCCUUACACAUGCAAGUCGAACGGCAGCGGGGGGAGCUUGCUCCCUGACGGCGAGUGGCGGACGGGUGAGUAACACGUAGGAAUCUACCUUAAUUAUAAUAGUUAGUGGGGGAUAACCCGGGGAAACUCGGGCUAAUACCGCAUAAUCUCUUCAAAGCAAAGCGGGGGAUCUUCGGACCUCGUGCUAUGAGAUGAGCCUGCGUCGGAUUAGCUAGUUGGUAGGGUAAUGGCCUACCAAGGCGACGAUCCGUAGCUGGUCCGAGAGGACGAUCAGCCACACUGGGACUGAGACACGGCC